rnacentral:rRNA from 1 species
UACGGAGGGUGCAAGCGUUAUCCGGAUUCACUGGGUUUAAAGGGUGCGUAGGCGGGCAGGUAAGUCCGUGGUGAAAUCUCUGAGCUUAACUCAGAGACUGCCAUGGAUACUAUUUGUCUUGAAUAUUGUGGAGGUAAGCGGAAUAUGUCAUGUAGCGGUGAAAUGCUUAGAUAUGACAUAGAACACCAAUUGCGAAGGCAGCU